GAAUUCUUAUCUCCCACGGUAGCCUAGCCUCUCGACGCGUAAUCGCGGGUGAUAUUCUUCUGAACGCGUCUCUUGUCUUUUCUUUUCUGCCUUACGUGUUUCGUCCUCUUGUUUCGUUAUCUACGUCGUCUGGCAGGAUGUUUCAACUCGAUUUCUUGGACCGAUCAUUGCUAGGGUUUUCACUUCUCACGGAUGAUUCUUGAUUGAUUCUCUUCCACGCUAAGUCUUCAGGGGCUUCUCUAAUCUCAUUAGUUCCUUACGUUUUUAUGUUGCGAUCAUCGUUGCAGCUUUUUUGGAGUUUUCACCUUUGGUAUAGGUUUGGUUUCUAGAUUUCAUCGGUCUACUUUUUGUUCCAUGUGAUAUACUUGUCGUCUUGUUUGUUUUAGAUUGUGGAGGAUGCUUUCUUUGAUGAUCGAUGAUGGCGUUUAGGGUUGAUCGCUCUUCAAGUGUUUUCUCUUUUGGCGGUUUAGCAGGGCUUCUCUCUUUUUUCCUUUAAAACAAAAUCAUUAUUACUCGUAAGUCGGUCUUCUUUUUCCUGUCUUAAGCGAAACACGUUUUUUCGUGUUGAUAUAGAACAUGGAGGCUCAGCAAUCGGGAUAGCUCUGAAUAGGUUUCUCUGUUUUCUCAUGCUUUACUUUUUUUCCCCAUGAAUUACUCUCCUUCGUUAUAGGUGUAUCGAGGAGGAUGAUCUUCUAUCUUAGACCGUGGAAGGGAACAAUGUUUUGCGUAUGAUCUCGAGUUCUUGGUUAUACCUUUUCACCUACGGAUUAUAUCUUUUGUUGAGUAUUGGUUAUUGUGUCCUCCGCCGUGUUUUCCAGAUCUGUUUCACCAAUCAAUGUACACAUAUUCAGAUGAAAGACCGAUGGUCGCAGAUGUGAUUCGAUCAUCGUUGCCGCUUCUAAGUUUUCACGUUUUUUUAGGUUUGGUUUCUAGAUUGGCCUUUUUUGUUCCAUGUGAUCUUUUUUUUUUUUUUUUGAACAACUUGUUCCAUGUGAUUCUACUUUCUGUUUUGUUGUUUUAAAUUUGCGACAGAUGCUUGCUUUAAUCCAUGAUGGCUGUUUUGGGUUGAUCGUUCUUCACGCGCUUUCUACAGGGCUUCCGUCCUUUUCCUAUUUUUAAAUUCCCUUAUUACACAAGCCGGUCUUUUUUUUUUUCCCUUUCUUAAGCGGAACAUGUUUUUGGUUUUGGUAUAGAACAUUUUUGGCUCCAAGAGAGAAAGGCAAUCUGGAUGGCUCCUGAUCAAUCUUCUUGCCGGUUUUAGGUUUCUCUGAUUUCUCUUUGCUAAAAGGAUGGUUUGUUUACCUUUCUGGCAGAUUCUUGUUACCCUUGUAUUCAGUGUUUCUAUGUUACUUGACUUUAGUUUCUAUCUUGGACAAUAAGGAUGACUUUAUUUGGAGCGUCUACGAGAAACAAUUCGUUUUGUGGAAGGGAGUAUGAUGGUUUGCGUAUAGUUCCUAGUUCUUGGUUAAAUCUUUUAAGCCUAUGGAUUAUUUAUGUUUAGUAUUGGCUAUUGUGGGGGAGGUAUGAUGUGUCCUCUGUUUUUUACAGAUCUGCUUAACUAAUCAAUUCACUCUGUUCUUCUCCGGUCUACAUACGUUCAGAUGAAAGAUGGAUCAUAACAGUUGGUUUUGUUCUUCUUUUGCUGUUUCAAGAUGUGGAUUACUUCACUCUGCCCAUUAAAGAUUGUCAAUCUUAAGUUCCUUAUUAUGUAGAAGGCACCUGCACCAGAUUAUUCAGCUUGUAUCAUCAGUCUGUUGAUUCUUUUGCGUUCUCCAUAGAUUUUGAAAUGUUUCGAGGAAAGCUCUCUCGUCUAUGUUACAGAUGGAUGCGAUUUCCAAAAGAGAAAAGCAGGACUGCUAAUUGGAGUCUUGGUGGUUUAUCUGUUCUGCUUUAUUUGUUCCUACUUCCUAACCACAGUAUAUGAAUUUACAUCGGUGGCUUUUCUGUUCAUUCUAUCUACUUCUCGUUUUAGAUUGUGGAGAAUGCUUGCUUUGAGCGAUGAUGAUUGUUAGGGUUGAUCCUCCUUCACGCGUGUAGAAGGGCAUAUGUCUUUUUUUUUUCUUUUCGUACUUUUUAAUUUCUUUAUCACAGAAGCCGGUCUUUUCUCCUGUCUUCACCAAACAUGUUUUUUCGUUUUGAUAUAGAAGAUGUAGGCUCCAAGAGAGAAAAGCAAUGGGGGAUGGCUCUGAUCUACCUUUCUUUUCCGUUUUGAUUAAUUUGCAUCGAUGGAUGGCUCUUGAUCUAUACAGUCUUCUUCUCUAUGAAUUUUCCCUGUUUUUGGUUACUAUAUUACGUAUAGAUGCGAUCAAGUUUUCUUCGCCCUUAUCUCUUUGGCCUUUUUUAUUUUAUUUUACAGUGUGCAUAUAUAUUCUAUGGCUUAAAUGAAAAUCACCUGUGCUCAAGAUGGUAGCCUCUCUUUCUCUUCGAGUUCAGUUUAUUUUGGAUGAUUCUGUUUCGACCGGUUUUGUGUGUAGUCUUCUACAUGUUUCAGGCUUCCACAUUUGUUAUCAAGUCAUGAGCCACUUCUUCCAUGAAAUAACUGCGUAUGCAAGUGAUGAUGUUAUCUCCUAGAUGCCUCAAGGAUCAGUUGUCAAUUAAUUGGGUUAUGCAUUCUUUCUAUCCUUGUUUUUGUUUUUGAUUUUGUAAGCAUGUUCUUGAGCUGGUCUACUUCGUCCAGCGACACCAGUUUUGAAAGUUCUUCUGCGUUUUACUCCUCCUUUUCUAUGUGGAAACUUUUUGUUUUGGACAGGGAUCUUUGACCGUCAUAUCGCAGGAUGUCUUUUAGCGAUUUCUUGGACAGAUCAUCGUUCCUACACCAGUUUGUUCACUUUUCACAUCGGUUUUAACGGGUUAUUGUUUAUUCUAGCGUUUGGUUUCGAGAUUCCAUCGGUUGGCUUUUCUUGUCAUUCAAUUUUACUUUCGGGUUUUGGAAUUUUAGAUUCUGGAGGAUGCUGUGAUUGAUCGGUGCUAUGCUACGUUUUCAAGGGUCCUCGCUUAUCUAUUUCCUUCCUUACCUCCUUCCGACUCGUAGGUUUGGUUUCUUCUAUAGAUUGGCAUCUGUGGCCUUUUUUUAUGUGUUCUACUCUCGUUUGGUUGUUUUAGAUUGUGGAAGAUGCUUUUGCUUUGUGAUCCUUGACCGUGAUGGCUGUAUCGGGUUGAUCCUUCUUCAUGCGUUUGCUCUGUUGGCGGUUUAUCAGGGCUUCCGUCUUUUUUCAUUUUUUACUAUUUCUGAUUUCCUUACUACACAAGCCGGUUUUUCUUUCUUAUCUUAAGAGAAACAUGUUUUUCGUUUUGGUACAGAACAUGGAGAAGCAACCGGGAUGUGUGUCUGAUCUGUUUUAGGUUUCUCUGUUUUCUCCUGCUAUAUUUUCUUUCCAUGAAUUACUCUCUCUCUUUCUCCGUAUAUAUAUGGAAGGAUGAUCUGUUUCUUACCAAGCCCUUGUAUUUAUGGUUUUUGUUACUUGACUUUUUUUUUUGGGAUCAAAAUAUGUUAUUUGAAAAUCAGCAGGCUGCUACUUGGACUCUUCAUAGUUGGUUUAUCUACAAUCUUCUUCGCUCCCUUUUGGCCUUUUUGAUUUUUCAGUCUGCAUCUGUUCUAUAUAUGGCUUGAAUGCAAAUCACUUCUCCCCCGCGAUGGUAGCCUCUCUUUCUCUUUGAAUUCUGUUUAUUAGUAUAGGAGGAGUUUGGAUGAUUCUGUUUCGACCUGUUGUUUAUAGUCCCCUGUAUCAGUACAUCCUGGCCUGUUUUGCUGUUUCAAACUUCAACGUCCUUGUCUCAUCAAGGAUGAAUUUGGAGCUUCCAGUCUUUGAUGGAUUCAGGUGUCAUUAUAGAUUAUUGCGUGUGCAAGUGAAGUUGAUCUCCGAGCUCGUCAAUGGUUGCCUCAAGGAGAAGUUGUCAGUUGAGGGUUAUGCGUUCUUUCUAUCUUUGCUUUUUUUUUUUAAAUUUAAUGCAUGACUACUUCUCUCCCCGGGUUAAUUUGAUAUUUGUCAGCAUGUUCUGGGAUUGGUCUAUUUUCUACAGCAACCAUAAGGUAACGUUGAAGUUUCUUCUGAGUUUUGCUCCUCCUACUCCUCUAUAUGGAAACGUUUUGUUUUGGACAGUGAUCUUUUGUAUAGUCUCUGGUGAUAAGUCGGCCGCGGGUGGAUAAAGCUCAGAUAUCUUGGCUCUUGAUCCUGUAUGUUCUCUUUUCUAAAUGUAGCUACCAUGCUUGUUCUUGUGUUCUUUUUUUCUUUUAGCUUGUGUCCUUUGUCCUUAUUUGUGUGUUCCCAGAUUUUCAGUUCAUCAACCAGUUCACCCAUGUUCCUCGUUGUACACCUAUUCAAGUUGAAAGAUAAUCAAUCAUCAGAUGGUUUGCUCUUUUUUUUUGUCCGCUCCUGGUUUGAUUUGUCCUGUAGAGAAAGCUUUUGUAUUGAAUGAUCUUCAACUAUUCCAACGAUCCUUUCCAGCGUCAUCUGUGUUUUCGAUUGCAGAGCUUCGAAGAGAAAGCAGCACUUGUCAGGGAAGGAUGGUUCUCUUAUAAUCUGGUUUCUGGUUGUUUCGAUUCUAUACAUCACAUUGCCUACAUAGUUUUCUUUUUUCCUGAACAGCUUUUGUGGGGAAUAUAUGAUUUUUCUUUUGUUUGUUUCCAGAAUCUAUGCGGAGGAUGAUUAUUUGUAAAUGGGUUUGUUCUUAUUAUUAGUCCUUUAUGGCUCCUUUUUUUCUAAUGCUGUGUACGGUGGUUAUUGAUUGUAAUAAACUAUUAUACCGGCUUUUUACAGUAGCAGACGUAUCGCAUCUUACGGAUCUUUUACGUUACUGAAGUAAGAAGGUCUGGACUUUCUAGACCACAAGUUUAUAAUUCUAUAAUCUUUCUUCUAGAUAGGAGUUUUGUUAUGGUGUCUGUGUCAGGAAAACUCUCAAGACUUUUGAAGGGUCGUUUUAGUGGACUGUUAAGUCUGAGCUCCUCUGAUGAAGAAGGCUCAAGAUGGUUUGUCAAUGGCCUUUUCUUCUACAGUCGUCUUUGUUAACUUAUUUGGUGGUUUCUUCUCUUCUCUGUUUUGGCUCCUUUCUGAUUUUCUUUACUGCAUCUCUUCUAUGAUAUGCGUACAUCUGUUUGAGAUGAUGGUUUCUUUUUCCUAUGAACUCAUUUUUUGAAUAGGAAUUUAGAUGGUGCAAGGGGAAGGUCUUAUUUCGACUUGUCGGUGGAACUCAUUAUGGAGUAAUUCAAGGGAAAGUAAACUAAUGUUGUCCAGGAACACCUCCCUGUUGGUUUGUGUUUACUUCUGAUUGUUAUUGUUUGCUGGGCAGUAAGCUUCAGGUUCCUUCUUCCUCGUUUUUUGGGAGCUCAUUCAUUGAUAUUUGGUAACACGUUAACGUUGCUUCGGUGAGACAAGGUAGCGUUGAAGUUCUUCUGAGUUUUGAUCUUCCUUUUUGUUAUGGCGAUGUUUUGCUUUGGAUACCCUUUUCUACAGUUGAGUCCGGUGAUUGGUUGGCUUUGAGGGAAGAAAGCUUCGGGUUCCUCACUGGUUUGCUGCAAGAAGUUGUAUUUAGUCUGACGGUUUUCUCGGCCUUGUUCCCUUGUUUCCUAUUUUGCUAGGCUACUUAUCUUGGGGGUUAAUUAGUUGAUAUUGGUAACACUUGUUUUGCUGCUCUCUGAAGGUUAAUAAAUAUCUGCUAAAGGAAGAUUUUGAGGAUGCAAUACAAUGUAUUUCAGUUUUUUUGCUCCAGGGAGUCAAGGUAACGUUGAAGUUCUUCCGAGUCCUAUUCGUCGUUUUUUUGUUAUGGAAACGUUUUGCUUUGGACAAAAUCUUCUACAGUUCAGUAGUCUGGUGUUUUGUUGGCUUUGAGGAAAGUAAGCUAUGGGUUCAUCAUUGGUUUCACAACAGAGUCUCUGGUUAGUUAAUUUUGUUGGCCGGACUUCACGGGAAGUAAGCUUAGCUUCUUCGGGUUUCUCAUUCCCCAUCCUCUCUUUCUUUGGCUCACGGAAGGGUAAUGUACUAAUGUGUAUUUGCUAUAUAGAUUUGGUGGAUGGAAUAUCAUGGAUUUUUGGGUUGUAGUCUAUAUCUGAAUAAUGACAAGGUAACAUUGAAUGGCCUCUUUGAGAUUUGCUCUUUCCUUUCUGUUAUGAAAACAUCUUGCUCUGGACACUCUUUUAUUGUAUAGUCUUCGGUGAUUUGAUAUGGCUGGGAUGGAUGAAGCUCAAAUACGGUGGCGUUUGCUUCUGUAUAUGUUGACUGCUCUGUAAGGUGUUUACCAAGAAGAUGGUGCCUUUUUUGUCUUUCUCUAGGUUUGCAGUAAUAUCACGUAGUCAGUAUCAUCUUAGUACAUGUGUUUUGUAUUUGGUUUUGUGGAAGAGUUUCGCUCUCGAUAUGAUGCUCUUUUCUUGUGCACUACUACUGCAUGGUUUCAUCAUUUGCCUCGUUUUUUCUGGUUUGAUGGUAACACAGGGCAUAUGAAUCUCGCCUUUGUCAGAAUAUGGUCGGAAACGUGUCCUAGCGACUGUGAGGGUACGGUGUGCCGUGCCACUCGUACUUGUGCAGAUUUUCUUUACACUGCGCUUUGUUUCAACGGUGUGCCGCUAGACCUUUUUUGGUGUCUUCCAGUCGCAGAGCUUUGCCCACCAGACCCGAGAUUGUAGCUCUAAUGGAGAAGUGUGGGGGUAUGGGUUUAUGAUGACAUGCUCCAAGAUAUCAAAACACGUUUUCUCCUCCAAUAUGCAAUGGAGAGAGAGCAGAACAAGGAAGGAUGUUCGAUGGUCUUCACUACCUCCCAUAGCUGAUAGCUUCGCCAGGAUGCUUAUCAUCUGAAAUCGUUAAGGCUUCGGUUUUGUACUAGCUUUCUAGUUGAGCUCAACAGAAAACAGUUUGGAAAGGAAGGCAGCAAGGCUUUGGAAACUUACGUAGCCUAAACCUCACAAGCUGCAAGCGCCCAACCCAGUUUCCAGACCUUCUGAAGGCGACUAAUCUUGAGGCUGUUAAACCCUCCAGUUGUGUUAACUGGGAAGUAUGACAGAACAAAGACGAUACAAGCUAAUAGGCUUCAA